GACGAACGCUGGCGGCGUGCUUAACACAUGCAAGUCGAACGAAAAGACGGAAAGAGCUUGCUCUUUUCAGAAUUGAGUGGCAAACGGGUGAGUAACACGUAAACAACCUGCCUUCAGGAUGGGGACAACAGACGGAAACGACUGCUAAUACCGAAUAAGUUCCAAGGGCCGCAUGGCCCAUGGAAGAAAAGGUGGCCUCUACCUGUAAGCUAUCGCCUGAAGAGGGGUUUGCGUCUGAUUAGCUGGUUGGAGGGGUAACGGCCCACCAAGGCGACGAUCAGUAGCCGGUCUGAGAGGAUGAACGGCCACACUGGAACUGAGACACGGUCCAGACUCCUACGGGAGGCAGCAGUGGGGAAUCUUCCGCAAUGGGCGGAAGCCUGACGGAGCAACGCCGCGUGAGUGAUGACGGCCUUCGGGUUGUAAAACUCUGUGAUCCGGGACGAAAAGGCAGAGUGCGAAGAACAAACUGCAUUGACGGUAC
rnacentral:rRNA from 1 species